ensembl:lncRNA
AGCCAAACAGAGUACAGUGCAUAGACUGUACAUACAUUUUUUUUCGUUAGUUUUCAUGGUCAAAAUGAGAGAUUAGGUGGCCGAUCUCAAAAAUAAAUCAAUAUUGAUUUUUUUAUAGAGCGUUAAAGUUUUGCGAAACCAGGGGGCGGGACUACUUGAUUGACAGUCCGGUCUGUAAUGAUUGACAGGUCCUAUGGAGGAGGCAGCAGAGACUCUGCUCUCCUCGUUUGGAUUAAUUGUGAUAUAAUAACUGUUGGUUUAUUUAUCGGUGGAGCAGCAGAACAUUUUCCACAGACAGUUUUCCUGCCCGUUGGCUUGUUUUAACCAGUUUUCUGCCUUCGGCUGAUUGUACCAGCAGACACUGAAAGGACUCUAAUAGUUCGAGUGAAAGCAGCAAUUCCUCCUUAAGGUCAGAGAUUGCAGCAUCUGAGGGCCUCUUCAAAAGAAGACGUAGUUGAUGAAGGCGUUCUGGAGCAGGACCAGAAAGACCACGACCAAGCAGCCUUGAGAUCUUAGGCAGCGUCUCCCUCGGGUCCCUCUCUAUCUCCCCACACAUCCACCAACCACUGGAACACAUCUCCAAAGUUCUGCCGGGCCGGCUCAGCUUCCCCUCAGAAGAAGUUCCGCCACCUGCCAGAUGAAGGAGCCUUUUGAGAGGCAGCUGGCAUCGUGAUUGGACUGCACUUUGGUCUGUUCCAAUCCAGCUUCACCUCCAGAGACGGCAGGCGGGACGAGUCAACGGAGGCCGGGUGGACGAAGACAUGCAGCUGAGUACAAUCCAGAAAACAACAGAGAAGGAGUGCAGUGGCCCAGAGCCAGAACAGAGUAGCAUCGUAUGUCUCUUAGAAAACAUCAUAGUACAGCCUUUGCUAUGAAAAAACGCCAUCAUAUACAUCGUAUAUUGUACAAAUAACAAGUCAAAGGAAAGAGACAUACAUUGUAGAAUUGUAGUAAUUGUGGACUGACUGAUUUACUAAUUAUCAGUAUUUUAUUUUUUACUGAUUUACGGUAAUAAAUACAUUUAAAACUGGCGCUACUUUGGCUCUGAACCUUAAUCUACCUGUGGUCCCUCUGUCUUCUGGAGUGAUUUGAUUGGUUAUACGUCACGAAUAAAACUCCUUUAACUUAACAUCUGUAAACGAAACAAUAACGUAUCAACAAAGUUUCCUGUUAGAGUUUGUGUUCUUCUAAGUUUAACUCCAAGAUUUUAAAUACUUUCAUUUACUGCAAAUGAAUAUCUACUCCAAAUGUCUCAGUAAUAAUCAUUAUCAGCCUUAAAAACCCACAAAACACCCCUCUAUACUCGACCACACUUAGUACAGUCCAGUUUCCCCUUCUAUAAAUCUCCUUGGAAUCUUCCACUUCCUGUUUGUCAAAGUGGCUUUCUACCUGGACAAGUUUUGUUGGAGCUCAUGCAACAAACAUUUUGGGUAACUGCACUUUAAUAUGGAUGGAUGACACUGACUUAGAGUCUGUUUUAAUGAGACUGAGUUAAGAUGUGUAGCUCUGUCGUUAAAUAGGAAAUGAUUUCUCAGAAUUCACAGAGAAAAGUCUGAAAUGUUUGCUAGGUUAGCGUCCCACAUGUUCUUUGGCUCAGCUAAAGCUAACUCUCUCCAACUUCUGGAUCUCUUGAGUUGCUAGUUGUUAAAAUAUCUUGCUGUAGGUGCUGAAGCUCAGAAAGUCUGAGAUGUUUGUUCAGAAUAAGCUCAUUCUCAAGUCUUCUCUGAACUGUCCUCUUUUGUUUGAACUUUCCCUAAACUUAGGAGUUAAUGAAAGAGCAGCACAUCCAGACUCAGUCUCAUUUAUGUAGAGAUUAAACUUCAGUGUCAUUCAUUGAUGUUAAAGUGCAGUUUUUCAAAUGUUUGUUGCACAUGCUCCCGACCAAACCAGUCCAGGUGGAAGACGAUGUGAAGAGAAAGCUCCAGAGGAUGAAUAUCACACAUUUACGUUGGAAAUAAAUGUCCUUUAAUUUGACAUUGUCAUGCAAAUGAUGUUCAAAUCUUUGAGUGUUUUGUUGAUGUUGGUUUCUAAAUGUUUUUUGACACUCGGCCCCAAAUAUUAAAACCUUCUACGGCUCACAAGCUGCAACAAUUCACACAUUAUCAACUAUCUUUCUGACUAAACUAAGAUAAAAUUGAAAAACUGCCUGAUUCCUGCAUCAUGAAUGUAAAUCGUUUUGGUUUUUAUGACAGUAAACUGAAUAUAUUUGGGUUUGAGAUUUUGUAAACCAAAACAAGAAAUUAAUUACUGGAGAAAACAAUCAACAGAUUAAUGGUCAAAGAAAAUGUGUUUUCCAACAUAUAUGGCUGAAUUACUCCAACAUUACAAGAUACAUACAAUUUUAAUUCAAUUUUAUUUAUAUAACGCCAAUUACAGGUCAAAUUGUGUCAAGACACUUUAUAUUUUUUGUCAUAUUUAAAAUAUGACAAAGAAAGAAAUUUAAACCUCCUGACUAAUCCAAUUUAUUAUUUGGUUUUUAAGAGACUAAUUGACAACUAAAAUAACUUUCUCCACUAAAACUAAUAAACAUGAGGUCAAAUAGAAGGAACAGUUUUAAAUACUGCAGUCCCACGACGACAAGAAUAAAGUUUGUCAACAAAAACUAAAUCUGCUGGUGGAUUCCAUUAAAGUCCUAAUAAAUGAUAAUAAAGUGUGAUACUAAAGGUUUAUGGUGCUAAAAAUGUCAAAGUAAAGAUAUCAAGUUGAACAUCUGGAUGGAGGUUGAUAAAAGUUGACCUUCUUUCAUUUCUCUGGAGCCGAUUCCAUGGAUUUUAUGGAUGGUGGUUAAAGACCUGCUCUUCUCGUCAUCGUCCUUCUAGUUGCUGUAAAAAGUCAGUCCAUCCUGGCCGACUUCAACACCUCUUCAUGAAAACUUGUUCUGCCUCUGACCUCGUGGAAACUCCAGAAACUCGGGAAAACCCAUGGAGACUCGAAGAACUCGUGGAGACUCGAAGAACUCGUCAGGCGGGGGAAGGUGUGGUGGGUGGUGGGGGGAGGUGGGGGAGUAGAGGGGGGAGGCCGCCACCCACCUCCCCGCCUACUCUCCGCCCUGGCUCCACCCAGACUCCGCCUUGGCUCCACCCAUGUGGUCACUUCAGGAACUACGAUGCCAAAGGGACGACGAAUUCAUUUCUUUUCAUCUGAUCUGUAG